GUGAGGAAUAUUGCGCAAUGGAGGCAACUCUGACGCAGCCAUGCCGCGUGCAGGAAGAAGGCGCUACGCGUUGUAAACUGCUUUUAACCGGGAAGAAACACCAGGACGUGUCCUGGGUUGACGGUACCGGAGGAAUAAGCACCGGCUAACUUCGUGCCAGCAGCCGCGGUAAUACGAAGGGUGCAAGCGUUAUCCGGAUUCAUUGGGUUUAAAGGGUGCGUAGGCGGAGCGUUAAGUCAGUGGUGAAAUCCUGCAGCUUAACUGUAGACUUGCCAUUGAUACUGGCGCUCUUGAGUGCGCUUGAAGUGGGCGGAAUGUGCCGUGUAGCGGUGAAAUGCUUAGAUAUGGUACAGAACACCAAUUGCGAAGGCAGCUCACUAAGGCGAUACUGACGCUGAGGCACGAAAGCGUGGGGAUCGAACAGGAUUAGAUACCCUUGUAGGCC
rnacentral:rRNA from 1 species